ACAGACAGAGUGUGCGCUUCCAUUUCUUUUGCGACGACGUGCCUCUCUAAACACCAGCUCUUCUCGUUCUGUCCGUAAAAGACAAAGAAACAUGUCCGACGAAGGAAAACUUUUCGUCGGUGGCCUGAGCUUCGACACAACAGAAGAAUCUCUGGCUGAAGCUUUCGCUAAGUAUGGUAACAUUGCAAAAGUUGAUGUCAUCAGGGACAAAGAAACGGGAAGGUCUCGUGGAUUCGGCUUCGUAAAGUACGAUAAUGCCGAGGAUGCGAAGGACGCUUUGGAUGGCAUGAACGGCAAGUCCGUUGACGGCAGAACAAUUCGUGUGGAUGAGGCAGGCAAGGGUGGUGGUCGUUCAGGAGGAGGCGGCGGUGGUGGAUUCAGAGGGUCCAGAGGAGGUGGUGGAUAUGGCGGUGGAGGUGGAUAUGGAGGGGGGAGAGGAAGAGGUGGGCGAGUUUACUCGCGAGGUGGUGGAGGAUAUGGUGGUGGUGGUGACAGGGGAUAUGGUGAGAGGAGUUAUGGUGGCGGCGGAGACCGGAGUUAUGGUGGCGGUGGAGACCGGAGCUAUGGAAGUGGCGGUGGAUACAGGAGCGGUGGUGGUGGCGGUGGAGGAUACUCUUCUGGUGGCGGAGGAUACAGGGACAAUAGGGGCCAGGGAGGCUACGGGGAUCGCUCUGGGGGAUCCUACAGAGACAGCUACGACAGUUAUGGGUGAGUUAACUUUUUGGAGACUGAACUCUCCAGUGGCAGAUGGUGAUAAACUGGAAUCUCCUGCAGCAGUGUUCCAGGUCCAGUGGUGUGAGUAGCAGUGGAGUCCACAUCAACCCAGUACUCUGCAUUGGCUGAGUUCUGUCUUCAAUGCAGUCACUGGUUCCCAGGAGUUCUGGGAAAAAAUAUUUUCUCAUCUUAAACAUUUUGUAUAGAGAUCCUACAAGCUGCAUCUCUUUGGGGAAACAGCUUUAGGUGAAGUGAUUUGUCUAUGGGACACCAUACUAACAGUUACAAAAAAAGCUAAUUUCCUCGUGUUGGUGUUCAUAGCUCUAAACGGAUGUAGUCAAUCGUUUCACCUGUUCCAGUAACUAGUUGUUUUUAAAGUAACCUGUUUCUAUGUACAUUUAGCAGAAGUUCUUAUCCAGAGCGACUUACAAGCGCAAUUAUGAAGUGCCUUACUCAAGGGCAGAUUUUUCACGUAUUUGGCUCAGGGAUUAGAGGCAAUGACCUUUUGGAUACUGGCACUAUCCUCUUAACUGUUACGCUAACAAUAUGAUAUAUUGUGAACUCGUUUCUUCAAUAAAAUCAGACUAACCAACA